GGGGGCUUAGUGGUGGGGUGACUGCGUACCUUUUGUAUAAUGGGUCAGCGACUUAUAUUCUGUAGCAAGGUUAACCGAAUAGGGGAGCCGGAGGGAAACCGAGUCUUAACCGGGCGUUAAGUUGCAGGGUAUAGACCCGAAACCCGGUGAUCUAGCCAUGGGCAGGUUGAAGGUUGGGUAACACUAACUGGAGGACCGAACCGACUAAUGUUGAAAAAUUAGCGGAUGACCUGUGGCUGGGGGUGAAAGGCCAAUCAAACCGGGAGAUAGCUGGUUCUCCCCGAAAGCUAUUUAGGUAGCGCCUCGUGAACUCAUCUCCGGGGGUAGAGCACUGUUUCGGCUAGGGGGCCAUCCCGGCUUACCAACCCGAUGCAAACUGCGAAUACCGGAGAAUGUUAUCACGGGAGACACACGGCGGGUGCUAACGUCCGUCGUGAAGAGGGAAACAACCCAGACCGCCAGCUAAGGUCCCAAAGUCAUGGUUAAGUGGGAAACGAUGUGGGAAGGCCCAGACAGCCAGGAUGUUGGCUUAGAAGCAGCCAUCAUUUAAAGAAAGCGUAAUAGCUCACUGGUCGAGUCGGCCUGCGCGGAAGAUGUAACGGGGCUAAACCAUGCACCGAAGCUGCGGCAGCGACACUCAGGUGUUGUUGGGUAGGGGAGCGUUCUGUAAGCCUGCGAAGGUGGCCUGUGAGGGUUGCUGGAGGUAUCAGAAGUGCGAAUGCUGACAUAAGUAACGAUAAAGCGGGUGAAAAGCCCGCUCGCCGGAAGACCAAGGGUUCCUGUCCAACGUUAAUCGGGGCAGGGUGAGUCGACCCCUAAGGCGAGGCCGAAAGGCGUAGUCGAUGGGAAACGGGUUAAUAUUCCCGUACUUGGUGUUACUGCGAAGGGGGGACGGAGAAGGCUAUGUUGGCCGGGCGACGGUUGUCCCGGUUUAAGCGUGUAGGUGUGUGUUCCAGGUAAAUCCGGUUCACUUUAACACUGAGGCGUGAUGACGAGGCACUACGGUGCUGAAGCAACAAAUGCCCUGCUUCCAGGAAAAGCCUCUAAGCAUCAGGUAACAUCAAAUCGUACCCCAAACCGACACAGGUGGUCAGGUAGAGAAUACCAAGGCGCUUGAGAGAACUCGGGUGAAGGAACUAGGCAAAAUGGUGCCGUAACUUCGGGAGAAGGCACGCUGACACGUAGGUGAAGUGAUUUACUCAUGGAGCUGAAGUCAGUCGAAGAUACCAGCUGGCUGCAACUGUUUAUUAAAAACACAGCACUGUGCAAACACGAAAGUGGACGUAUACGGUGUGACGCCUGCCCGGUGCCGGAAGGUUAAUUGAUGGGGUCAGCGCAAGCGAAGCUCCUGAUCGAAGCCCCGGUAAACGGCGGCCGUAACUAUAACGGUCCUAAGGUAGCGAAAUUCCUUGUCGGGUAAGUUCCGACCUGCACGAAUGGCGUAAUGAUGGCCAGGCUGUCUCCACCCGAGACUCAGUGAAAUUGAACUCGCUGUGAAGAUGCAGUGUACCCGCGGCAAGACGGAAAGACCCCGUGAACCUUUACUAUAGCUUGACACUGAACAUUGAGCCUUGAUGUGUAGGAUAGGUGGGAGGCUUUGAAGUGUGGACGCCAGUCUGCAUGGAGCCGGCCUUGAAAUACCACCCUUUAAUGUUUGAUGUUCUAACGUGGACCCGUGAUCCGGGUUGCGGACAGUGUCUGGUGGGUAGUUUGACUGGGGCGGUCUCCUCCUAAAGAGUAACGGAGGAGCACGAAGGUUGGCUAAUCCUGGUCGGACAUCAGGAGGUUAGUGCAAUGGCAUAAGCCAGCUUGACUGCGAGCGUGACGGCGCGAGCAGGUGCGAAAGCAGGUCAUAGUGAUCCGGUGGUUCUGAAUGGAAGGGCCAUCGCUCAACGGAUAAAAGGUACUCCGGGGAUAACAGGCUGAUACCGCCCAAGAGUUCAUAUCGACGGCGGUGUUUGGCACCUCGAUGUCGGCUCAUCACAUCCUGGGGCUGAAGUAGGUCCCAAGGGUAUGGCUGUUCGCCAUUUAAAGUGGUACGCGAGCUGGGUUUAGAACGUCGUGAGACAGUUCGGUCCCUAUCUGCCGUGGGCGCUGGAGAACUGAGGGGGGCUGCUCCUAGUACGAGAGGACCGGAGUGGACGCAUCACUGGUGUUCGGGUUGUCAUGCCAAUGGCACUGCCCGGUAGCUAAAUGCGGAAGAGAUAAGUGCUGAAAGCAUCUAAGCACGAAACUUGCCCCGAGAUGAGUUCUCCCUGAGACUUUAGGUCUCCUGAAGGAACGUUGAAGACGACGACGUUGAUAGGCCGGGUGUGUAAGCGCAGCGAUGCGUUGAGCUAACCGGUACUAAUGAACCGUGAGGCUUAACCUUACA
rnacentral:rRNA from 1 species